CCUACGGGGGGCUGCAGUGGGGAAUAUUGGGCAAUGGGGGGAACCCUGAUCCAGCCAUGCCGCGUGUGUGAAGAAGGCCCUCGGGUUGUAAAGCACUUUCAGUGAGGAAGAACGCCUUGUGGUUAAUACCCAUCAGGAAAGACAUCACUCACAGAAGAAGCACCGGCUAACUCCGUGCCAGCAGCCGCGGUAAUACGGAGGGUGCGAGCGUUAAUCGGAAUUACUGGGCGUAAAGCGCGCGUAGGUGGCUUGAUAAGCCGGUUGUGAAAGCCCCGGGCUCAACCUGGGAACGGCAUCCGGAACUGUCAAGCUAGAGUGCAGGAGAGGAAGGUAGAAUUCCCGGUGUAGCGGUGAAAUGCGUAGAGAUCGGGAGGAAUACCAGUGGCGAAGGCGGCCUUCUGGACUGACACUGACACUGAGGUGCGAAAGCGUGGGUAGCAAACAGGAUUAGAUACCCUUGUAGUC
rnacentral:rRNA from 1 species